GAUGAACGCUGGCGGCGUGCCUAAUACAUGCAAGUCGAGCGAACGGACGAGAAGCUUGCUUCUCUGAUGUUAGCGGCGGACGGGUGAGUAACACGUGGAUAACCUACCUAUAAGACUGGGAUAACUUCGGGAAACCGGAGCUAAUACCGGAUAAUAUUUUGUACCGCAUGGUUCAAAAGUGAAAGACGGUCUUGCUGUCACUUAUAGAUGGAUCCGCGCUGCAUUAGCUAGUUGGUAGGUAACGGCUUACCAAGGCAACGAUGCAUAGCCGACCUGAGAGGGUGAUCGGCCACACUGGAACUGAGACACGGUCCAGACUCCUACGGGAGGCAGCAGUAGGGAAUCUUCCGCAAUGGGCGAAAGCCUGACGGAGCAACGCCGCGUGAGUGAUGAAGGUCUUCGGAUAGUAAAACUCUGUUAUUAGGGAAGAACAUAUGUGUAAGUAACUGUGCACAUCUUGACGGUACCUAAUCAGAAAGCCACGGCUAACUACGUG
rnacentral:rRNA from 1 species